GAUGAACGCUGACGACGUGCUUAACACAUGCAAGUCGAACGAAGCAUCUCUCCCGAAGAUUGAAGUAGCUUGCUACGGAUUGAUUCAAUUGAGAUGACUGAGUGGCGGACGGGUGAGUAACGCGUGGGUAACCUGCCUCGUAGAGGGGGACAACAGUUGGAAACGACUGCUAAUACCGCAUAGGAAAAAACUUUCGCAUGGAAGUUUUUGUAAAGUAUUUAUACACUAUGAGAUGGACCCGCGUCUGAUUAGCUAGUUGGUAAGGUAACGGCCUACCAAGGCAACGAUCAGUAGCCGGCUUGAGAGAGUGAACGGCCACAUUGGGACUGAGACACGGCCCAGACUCCUACGGGAGGCAGCAGUGGGGAAUAUUGCACAAUGGGGGAAACCCUGAUGCAGCGACGCCGCGUGAGUGAAGAAGUAUUUCGGUAUGUAAAGCUCUAUCAGCAGGGAAGAUAAUGACGGUACCUGACUAAGAAGCCCCGGCUAACUACGUG
rnacentral:rRNA from 1 species